rnacentral:rRNA from 1 species
UACGUAGGGACCGAGCGUUGUCCGGAAUCAUUGGGCGUAAAGAGCGUGUAGGCGGCCCCUUAAGUCCUGCGUGAAAUCCUGCGGCUCAACCGCAGACGGUCGUGGGAAACUGGAGGGCUAGAGUGCGGGAGAGGAGAGUGGAAUUCCCGGUGUAGCGGUGAAAUGCGCAGAUAUCGGGGAAGAACACCCGUGGCGAAGGCGGCUCUCUGGAACGCAACUGACGCUGAGACGCGAAAGCGUGGGGAGCAAACAGG